rnacentral:rRNA from 1 species
AGGAUGAACGCUGGCGGCGUGCCUAAUACAUGCAAGUCGAGCGGUAAGGCCACUUCGGUGGUACACGAGCGGCGGACGGCUGAGUAACACGUAGGAACGUACCCCAAAGUGAGGCAUAAGCACCAGAAAUGGUGUCUAAUACCGCAUGUGGCCUAACAGGCUAAAGCUCCGGCGCUUUGGGAACGGCCUGCGCAUGAUUAGCUUGUUGGUGAGGUAAAAGCUCACCAAGGCAGUGAUCAUUAGCUGGUCUGAGAGGAUGACCAGCCAGACUGGGACUGAGAACGGCCCAGACUCCUACGGGAGGCAGCAGUAGGGAAUUUUCCACAAUGGGCGAAAGCCUGAUGGAGCAACGCCGCGUGCAGGAUGAAGGCUCUAGGGUCGUAAACUGCUUUUAUCUGUGACGAAUAUGACGGUAGCAGAUGAAUAAGGAUCGGCUAACUCCGUGCCAGCAGGCCGC